GCCGAAGUAGACAACCGGAUACGUCAGCGGUCUUGAAAACCGUCAAGUCCUUAAUCGGGCUCAGGGGUUCGACUCCCUUCUUCGGCG
rnacentral:tRNA from 1 species